rnacentral:misc_RNA from 1 species
AACCUUAUGGACCUGCGGGCGUAUACCUGCGGAGGGAUCAUUACACAAUACAAUAUGAAGGCUGUCCGCAGCUGGAGUAUUUUAUUACCCUUGUCUUUUGCGCACUUGUUGUUUCCUGGGCGGGUUCGCUCGCCACCAGGACCACCAAACAAACCUUUUUUAUGCAGUUGCAAUCAGCGUCAGUACAAACAAUGUAAAUCAUUUACAACUUUCAACAAUGGAUCUCAGAUCGGAAGAGCA